UACCCCUUGUCCUUCAGAGUUCAAAUUUUCUUCACGGACAGCGAUAACCGGCGGGGUUGGGAAAAAAUGGGCGCCUCGAAUGAGGCCCGGAUGCUGUUCGAUGAAAUGCCACAGAGAAAGUCCAAAGCCCGAUCAACCCGGUCCGUUCCGACCCUACCCAACCCGCUACCCGAAUCAAUAAAUUUGAACCAGCGACGGGCUCGGGGUUUUAACCCAAUUUCCCCUACCACCGGUCUUCUCUCUCAAACUUUCUUGCCCUCGCUCAGGUAUAGAGGAGAAUGAGUUCCAGGCCUGUUCCAAGGAGGGAGAGCCCAUGGGGUUUGCCAGAAGGUGACACUCGGCAGCCCCAAGCACAUAGAUGCAAUGAUCGGGCAGAGGAUGUAAUUCAGGCUUGUUUUGAAGGAAAUCCCUUUAAGACAGUUCCAGGUCCUUUCAAGCUAUUUUGGCGCUGCAUGCGGUCAAAGCCAGGGGAAGAGCCAACCGAACCUUUCUACCACUUGCAGUUGGAUCCACCUAAGAGAGAAGAGGCCAAACUCGAGUGAUAAAAAUUUGCCUCUGCAAAGGGAUCUUGUUAAGUGAGGAUGAUGCCUUGGUACAUACAUGAAUUGUAUUGGCAGGAAUUGGUUUGAAAUGUUAUCAUGGCUAGUGAAUAGAUGAAGUUUCCCAAAAAGACCUAGUGGGGGUACUUGUAGCAAUUAGAGAUACAGGGCUGAAGAGAGAGCCAAAUUUGUCAAAAUGUGUCUAAAGCAAGUCCAAUUGCACAUGUAUGACCUCUUCCCAUUAUUAGACACAUUGACUCACUAUUUUCCAAGACUUUUACUUUCUAUUAAGAGCUAAUAAUGGACAGUACAAACUUA